rnacentral:rRNA from 2 species
AAACUGAAGAGUUUGAUCCUGGCUCAGAUUGAACGCUGGCGGCAUGCCUUACACAUGCAAGUCGAACGGCAGCGCGGGG